UACAGAGGGUGCAAGCGUUGCUCGGAAUUAUUGGGCGUAAAGGGUAGGUAGGUGGUCUCGUUUGUCUGAGGUGAAAGCCCUGGGCUUAACCUAGGAAGUGCCUCGGAAACGGCGAGACUGGAGUCCUGGAGAGGGUCGUGGAAUUCCCGGUGUAGCGGUGAAAUGCGUAGAGAUCGGGAGGAACACCGGUGGCGAAGGCGGUUCUCUGGGCCUUACCUGACGCUGAGGAGCGAAAGCGUGGGGAGCGAACAGG
rnacentral:rRNA from 1 species